UUUGGCUGCUCCCUUGAUGACCUCAACCUUUUGUAUCACUUCUGACUGGUAUGCUUCUUUUGCAGGGCCUCCGGAUACUGUACAGACUCAUGCCCCUUGAUGUUGUGCAAUAGGUUUGUUUAGAAGAAUCUUGAGGGUGCUCUGUACGGUUCCAUGCUUCCGAAGCCAAUAUGGUGUUCCAAAAGUUGUUUAGUUUUGAGUAAUGAGGUGCUGAGUAUAUUCAGUAAUUGAUUGCCCACCCUGGAAUUGGUGAUGGCCAAAUGGGAGUUCAAAGAUCAAGAGCUGUUGAGGCUCUUAGAGCCGCAGAUGGUGACAUUGCUGCUGUUAUGGAACUAAUUAGUGGAUGACCAGAUUUGGUAGAUUUUGAGUUUUGACCCUAGAACUGUUUUUCUUUCUUGAUCAAAAUUCUUGCUCUUCCUGGAUUUCAAAUUGUGGUUGUAGCGAGUGGUGUGUUAUGUCAUGCUGCAGUUACCUGCUUUGUAACUAAUACGAUAGCCUGAUGUAACUACAGUGAUUAUUGCACCGUUUGAUUUUUAACAUAGCCAAUUACCAAGUGUCAAACCAUUCCAGCAAGUGUGGGCUGGUAUUGUCAUUGAU